rnacentral:tRNA from 1 species
UCCCUGGUGUCUCAGAUGGUAAAGAGUCUGCCUGCAAUGCAGGAGACCCUGGGUUCAAUCCCUGGAUUGGGAA